UAGAGUUUGAUCAUGGCUCAGAUUGAACGCUGGCGGCAGGCCUAACACAUGCAAGUCGAACGGUAACAGGAAUCAGCUUGCUGAUUCGCUGACGAGUGGCGGACGGGUGAGUAAUGUCUGGGAAACUGCCUGAUGGAGGGGGAUAACUACUGGAAACGGUAGCUAAUACCGCAUAACGUCGCAAGACCAAAGAGGGGGACCUUCGGGCCUCUUGCCAUCGGAUGUGCCCAGAUGGGAUUAGCUAGUAGGUGGGGUAACGGCUCACCUAGGCGACGAUCCCUAGCUGGUCUGAGAGGAUGACCAGCCACACUGGAACUGAGACACGGUCCAGACUCCUACGGGAGGCAGCAGUGGGGAAUAUUGCGCAAUGGGCGCAAGCCUGAUGCAGCCAUGCCGCGUGUAUGAAGAAGGCCUUCGGGUUGUAAAGUACUUUCAGCGGGGAGGAAGGGAGUAAAGUUAAUACCUUUGCUCAUUGACGUUACCCGCAGAAGAAGCACCGGCUAACUCCGUGCCAGCAGCCGCGGUAAUACA
rnacentral:rRNA from 1 species